rnacentral:rRNA from 1 species
AUUGAACGCUGGCGGCAGGCCUAACACAUGCAAGUCGAACGAGUGGCGGACGGGUGAGUAAUGUCUGGGAAACUGCCCUAUGGAGGGGGAUAACUACUGGAAACGGUAGCUAAUACCGCAUACCAUCGGAUGUGCCCAGAUGGGAUUAGCUAGUUGGUGGGGUAAAGGCUCACCUAGGCGACGAUCCCUAGCUGGUCUGAGAGGAUGACCAGCCACACUGGAACUGAGACACGGUCCAGACUCCUACGGGAGGCAGCAGUGGGGAAUAGUGCACAAUGGGCGCAAGCCUGAUGCAGCCAUGCCGCGUGUAUGAAGAAGGCCUUCGGGUUGUAAAGUACUUUCAGCGGGGAAGCGUUACCCGAAGAAGAAGCACCGGCUAACUCCGUGCCAGCCGCCGCGGUAAUAC